rnacentral:lncRNA from 1 species
CAGCAGCCCUCUAGAUUUCCCCUCUCUUUUGUUUAUUUGUCCCAUGUCCUUUGACACAUUUUGUCAUCUUAAUGUCUGCAGAGAGAACUAACUUAAUGUCUGUGUACCAUCUGCUGGAGCAGUGGGAUAAUAACAGAGCAGAUAUCUAGAUAUCAGUAUCUAGAUACUAUUCACCACAUCAGUGAAUGCUGAGGAAAACAGGAAGCUUGCACAGAGAGAGAAGGACUUUGAGAUCUUCAUCUUCAGACAAUCUUGUGUGCCCUCUUGCCUUUGGUCCCCUCAUAUACAAUGUGGUCAUUUUGAUAUGACUGAAGUCACAGAACUGCUGAUCAUCCCAACAGCAAGGUUUGAUUCACGUUUGUGAAUUUACAGAAAGUAUCUCCUCAGAAGUUUAAUUUUGUCACAUCCUCCAACUGAUCUGGAAAUACUGAUGAUGCAGUGACGCCACAGCUAUGUUAAAUUCAUACACUGCUGUUCUCUGUCUUUUGUGAAUAGUCUGGCAUUAAAAUAUAAACUUAUUUUGUCUGUACUUUUAUGCUUCUGUUAUUUCUUUUCCACCUUUUUUCUCCCACUGGAACAUGGUAACAAAUGAAAAGAGAACAUGGUUCUGAAAAAUCCUCAGAUCUCCCUUUUUAAAAGGCCACAGAGGAUGCUUAUAAAAUUUCAAUUUUUCUUUGUUCUUUUAAGAAAAC